UCAACGAAAGGCUUCUCAUUUUAAUGAUUUCUACUUUUGUAAUGGAAUUGAAAUAGCAUGUGAAAAAGAAAAAGAAAAAGAGCGCGAGCGAGAAAAUGAACAUGAAAAAGAAAUGAAAGAAAAAGAAGAUGAGUGGGAGAUAGAAAAGAAAAUUGAAAAUGAGAUUGAGAAUAAAAACGAGUGCGAAAAAGAAAAGGAAACUGAAAAAGAGAGUGAGAUUGAAGGAAGAAACGAGAGUGCAAAAGAAAUGAGUGAUAUGGUAAAAGAAAGAGGAUUUGAAAGAACAAAAAAAGAAAUUG
rnacentral:lncRNA from 1 species